ACGGAAGGCAGCAGUGGGGAAUAUUGGACAAUGGGGGAAACCCUGGUCCAGCGACGCCGCGUGAGUGAAGAAGUAUUUCGGUAUGUAAAGCUCUAUCAGCAAGGAAGAAAAUGACGGUACUUGACUAAGAAGCUCCGGCUAAAUACGUGCCAGCAGCCGCGGUAAUACGUAUGGAGCAAGCGUUAUCCGGAUUUACUGGGUGUAAAGGGAGCGUAGACGGCAAAGCAAGUCUGAAGUGAAAUCCCGGGGCUCAACCCCGGAACUGCUUUGGAAACUGUUUAGCUAGAGUGCAGGAGAGGUAAGCGGAAUUCCUAGUGUAGCGGUGAAAUGCGUAGAUAUUAGGAGGAACACCAGUGGCGAAGGCGGCUUACUGGACUGUAACUGACGUUGAGGCUCGAAAGCGUGGGGAGCAAACAGGAUUAGAUACCCUGGUA
rnacentral:rRNA from 1 species